UCAGGCAUGCACCGAGCGAGCGAGCGAGCGAGAGAGCGGCCUGCCCUGCCCCGCGCCGCCCGCGCCUCCGCCACAAACUUUGUCUCCGCCGCUGCGGCGCGGCACGGCGGCCAACAAAAAGCGAUCAAUAAGAUGCAGAUGUAAACAUGUUGUUUGCAGUGCUUUAGGUGAAAUCCAGGCCUUCCCAAACCUGGUGGCAAUAUUCCUGCAGGUUGAAACAGUGCUCCAUGCCACUGAUGGAAGAAAUGUGUGGUUUUACUGUGCCGAGGGGUUGGAAUCUGUCUCCUGCUGAAACCAGUGGGAUGCUCCUCAUGAAAUCCAUGAGCACAUGGACCACCUGUGAGCAUGUGUGUCUUCAUAUCUUCUGUUUCCCAGCUAUGCGGGAUUCACCUACAGAAAAAAAUGUAAUUGGAAGUGGCUUUGGAGUACUGUCCACAAAGUUAAAAAUGAGUUUCCUGAAAGGAAAGCCCACAAGACCAAGUCAAAGUCAGCUUUCCCCUUAUAUGUGUUAAACAGUAAAUCCCGAUCUGUAUCUUACAAAUAAAACUCAGAAACAAAG
rnacentral:lncRNA from 7 species